GGCUCACAACGAACGACUGGCGUCCUGCCUAACACAUGCAAGUCGAACGGGUGUCAAGGUUUCGGCCUUGGCAUCAUUGGCGCACGGGUGAGUAUCGCGUGGGAACCUGUCCCGGAACGGGGGACAACCGCGGGAAACUGCGGCUAACACCGCAGACGCCCUUGGCGCGAGCCUUGGGGAAAGAUUUAUCGCUCUUGGAGGGGCCCGCGUCGGAUUAGCUAGUUGGUGGGGUAACGGCCCACCGAGGCGAUGAUCCGUAGCUGGUCUGAGAGGAUGAUCAUCCACACUGGGACUGAGACACGGCCCACACUCCUACGGGAGGCAGCAGUGGG
rnacentral:rRNA from 1 species